UAGGAAACCGCCAACAGCUCUGGGAGAGGGAACCCCCCCGCAAAACUGUUAACAGCCACUUCCGCGGUGGGGAUUCGUUGGCCGCCAGUGCAUUAGGAGUUAGGCCUGGAGAGCAGGACCCAGGAGGCAUGCAGACUGUCUCCUGAGAACCCUAAGAUCCCAGAAGCAUUGAGCUAGAAGGGGUUGUGGAGAGAGCCUCAUUCCAUACCUUCUCCCACCUGACAGAUGGAGAACAGAGGCCAAGAGGAGGAUUGACUUGUACGAAAAGGAAGCAGAUGGAGUAGAAUAAGCAUGACAGAAGUUCACUCAGAGAUUUUCAGAGCCAUGUGCAGGGGCUCACUGGAGCUGGAGUCUUAAAUGAGUCACUUCGACUUUUGGAAUCUCAGUGGUUUCAUGAAUGAUUAAAUAAUGUGCUUUAUACUUGAAGCAAACUAGAAGUGUAAAGAAUUGUUCAUUCAAUUAUAAAAUGCUUUCAUAGCUGUACUGUGUCUCUCCUGGGAAGUACAUGUUUUCUUCAGGACUCUUGGGUUGCAAAUGACAGAGACCCAGUAAAAACUGGCAUAAGCAGGAAUAGGUUCCAGCAUGAUCCAGCAGUUCACGUGAUGGGAAUCAUAUCUGCCCAUGAACCCUGCUUUCCCUUCUGUGGUUAGGUCCAUGCCCAGGCAAGAUAUUCCUAAGCCAUGGCAAGAUGUGUCCAUUGUCUUUGUGAUCAGAGAAUAUGGUCUCUGUGAAACUCAGACUUUGGAAUUUGUGGAAGAUCCAUUUGAGGCCUAGUACAUGGUUCAUUUGCAUAAAUGUGCUUGCAAAGAAUGUGAUUUCCUUGUUAAUGGAAGGAAGUUCUUUCUAUGUCUGUUAGCUCAAGCCUUUUAAUUGCAUUGUUCACAUUUUCUAGAUCAUUACUCUUUUUUUUCCUGUCUACUUGAUCCAUUCAUUUCUAGAAAAAUAUGUUAAAAUCUCCCAUUACGAUUGACUAUGAAGGGAGAUGAGAAAAUUUUAUGGAUUGAUGGUAAUGUUCUGUGUCUUACCUGGAGUUUAGCUUACACAGAUAUAUACAUUUGUCAAAAUUCAGCAAACGUGCACUUAAGAUUUGUGUGUUUCAUUGGAUAUAAAAUUCAUUACAAAUGAAAAAAUUGCAAUCAGAUAAUCAACCUUACUUAAUGAAGUCUUUGAAAAGUGACUGAAUUUACUUUGAAAUGCAUACAAAAUAAGAUGGUGUAAUAAAUGGAUAGAAAGGUGCAGAGGUUGAUAUGUGAAGAAGCAAAUGCAGAGUAAAAGUGUUAUUGGUAGAACUAGACGGUGAGUAUUUGGAUGUAUGCUCUAAGAUUCUUCUAGCUUGUGGUACAUUUGAAAUUUUUCAUUAAAAAAUAUUGGGGAGGAAAA